rnacentral:rRNA from 1 species
UGGGGAAUAUUGCGCAAUGGGCGAAAGCCUGACGCAGCAACGCCGCGUGAGUGAUGAAGGCCUUCGGGUUGUAAAGCUCUUUUGUCAGGGAAGAAACGGUAGUAGCGAAUAACUACUACUAAUGACGGUACCUGAAGAAUAAGCACCGGCUAACUACGUGCCAGCAGCCGCGGUAAUACGUAGGGUGCAAGCGUUAAUCGGAAUUACUGGGCGUAAAGGGCGCGUAGGCGGCCCUCUAAGUCAGACGUGAAAUCCCCCGGCUUAACCUGGGAACUGCGUCUGAUACUGGAGGGCUUGAGUAUGGGAGAGGGAUGUAGAAUUCCAGGUGUAGCGGUGAAAUGCGUAGAUAUCUGGAGGAAUACCGGUGGCGAAGGCGGCAUCCUGGACCAUUACUGACGCUGAGGCGCGAAAGCUAGGGGAGCAAACGGGAUUAGAUACCCCCGUAGUCCCUGAGCGGGCUGGCAAGGCGCAU